CAAGAACGUUACUCCCAACUGCUCAGUAGCUCAAGCCACCCAUCCAGUAAUCCUAUUGACCUUCUUGUUGGAGCGGUGUAACCAGAUGUAAAACAUACCAGUUGGAAGAAAGAGUGUUUUCACCAGCAGACGUCAUAGCCUUGUUGGUGUGCCAAUGAAAAGAAUUUUCACAAAGUUCCCGUUUCGUCUGGUAUAACCAAGACCAAUUUGUCAGCUUCCUCCAUUUUAUGAUUGUCAUGUUGAUCACAAGAAAAUGAGUGAAAACAUCAAAACGCUAAAUACAAUUUGCAAGAAUUUUUAUCAUGCACAAAUACCAUGAUUUCAUUCCAUUUCGUGCAUGCACAAUAUAAAUAUUCUCACAGAAAAAUCAAAAAUAUACAGUUUAGACCUUGUAAGAACUGUAAAGGUGAACAAUCAAUAUCUACAAAAAUUCAAUGUUACUCAAACUAAUGAAACUAUUCACUUUGUCUUUUGAUUAUAUUUAUAAGUCAACAUUUUGAAAUGCCUUGAUCAAGAUUUAUCUUUAACAUUACGACAAACAGUAAAACACAAAAAAAUUUAACCUACGCAUAAAAGCAAUAAUCACGAUGUUAGUUAUGAUAAUCGUAAACAUAUUAUUAAACCUAAUAAGCUUUUUAUAGGCACG